ACCCGUGGGAGAGCUUUCUGGCUGUACUGACACUGAGGGCGAAAGCGGGGUAGCAAACAGGAUUAGAUACCCUGGAGAAGGGCCAGAAACGAUGAGUGCUAAGUGUUAGAGGGUUUCCGCCCUUUAGUGCUGAAGUUAACGCAUUCAGAACUCCAACUGAGGGAGUACGGCCGCAAGGCUGAAACUCAAAGGAAUUGACGGGGGCCCGCACAAGCGGUGGAGCAUGUGGUUUAAUUCGAAGCAACGCGAAGAACCUUACCAGGUCUUGACAUCCUCUGAAAACCCUAGAGAUAGGGCUUCUCCUUCGGGAGCAGGAGUGACAGGUGGUGCAUGGUUGUCGUCAGCUCGUGUCGUGAGAUGUUGGGUUAAGUCCCGCAACGAGCGCAACCCUUGAUCUUAGUUGCCAUCAUUUAGUUGGGCACUCUAGGGUGACUGCCGGUGAAAACCGGAGGAAGGUGGGGAUGACGUCAAAUCAUCAUCCCCUUAUG
rnacentral:rRNA from 1 species